rnacentral:rRNA from 1 species
CAGCCGCCACGGUAAUACGUAGGUCCCGAGCGUUGUCCGGAUUUAUUGGGCGUAAAGCGAGCGCAGGCGGUUAGAUAAGUCUGAAGUUAAAGGCUGUGGCUUAACCAUAGUACGCUUUGGAAACUGUUUAACUUGAGUGCAGAAGGGGAGAGUGGAAUUCCAUGUGUAGCGGUGAAAUGCGUAGAUAUAUGGAGGAACACCGGUGGCGAAAGCGGCUCUCUGGUCUGUAACUGACGCUGAGGCUCGAAAGCGUGGGGAGCAAACAGGAUUAGAUACCCGCGUAGUCCCUGUCUCUUAUACA